rnacentral:rRNA from 1 species
UACGAAGGGGACUAGCGUUGUCCGGAAUCACUGGGCGUAAAGCGCACGUAGGCGGAUUUGUAAGUCAGGGGUGAAAUCCCGGGGCUCAACCUCGGAACUGCCUUUGAUACUGCAAGUCUUGAGUCCGAUAGAGGUGGGUGGAAUUCCUAGUGUAGAGGUGAAAUUCGUAGAUAUUAGGAAGAACACCGGUGGCGAAGGCGGCCCACUGGAUCGGUACUGACGCUGAGGUGCGAAAGCGUGGGGAGCAAACAGG